AUUGAACGCUGGCGGCAGGCUUAACACAUGCAAGUCGAGCGGUAGCACAGGAGAGCUUGCUCUCUGGGUGACGAGCGGCGGACGGGUGAGUAAUGUCUGGGAAACUGCCUGAUGGAGGGGGAUAACUACUGGAAACGGUAGCUAAUACCGCAUAACGUCGCAAGACCAAAGAGGGGGACCUUCGGGCCUCUUGCCAUCAGAUGUGCCCAGAUGGGAUUAGCUAGUAGGUGGGGUAAUGGCUCACCUAGGCGACGAUCCCUAGCUGGUCUGAGAGGAUGACCAGCCACACUGGAACUGAGACACGGUCCAGACUCCUACGGGAGGCAGCAGUGGGGAAUAUUGCACAAUGGGCGCAAGCCUGAUGCAGCCAUGCCGCGUGUAUGAAGAAGGCCUUCGGGUUGUAAAGUACUUUCAGCGGGGAGGAAGGCGAUAAGGUUAAUAACCUUAUCGAUUGACGUUACCCGCAGAAGAAGCACCGGCUAACUCCGUGCCAGCAGCCGCGGUA
rnacentral:rRNA from 1 species